rnacentral:rRNA from 1 species
AGUGGGGAAUAUUGGACAAUGGGGGCAACCCUGAUCCAGCAAUGCCGCGUGUGUGAAGAAGGCCUUCGGGUUGUAAAGCACUUUUAUCCGGAACGAAACGUGCGGGGUGAAUAGCCUCGUAAACUGACGGUACCGGAGGAAUAAGCACCGGCUAACUUCGUGCCAGCAGCCGCGGUAAUACGAAGGGUGCAAGCGUUACUCGGAAUUACUGGGCGUAAAGGGUGCGUAGGUGGUUUUUUAAGUCUGCUGUGAAAUCCCCGGGCUCAACCUGGGAAUGGCAGUGGAUACUGGAAAGCUGGAGUGCGGUAGAGGGUAGUGGAAUUCCCGGUGUAGCAGUGAAAUGCGUAGAGAUCGGGAGGAACACCAGUGGCGAAGGCGGCUACCUGGACCAGCACUGACACUGAGGCACGAAAGCGUGGGGAGCAAACAGGAUUAGAUACCCUGGUAGUCCACGCCCUAAACGAUGCGAACUGGAUGUUGGGUGCAACUUGGCACUCAGUAUCGAAGCUAACGCGUUAAGUUCGCCGCCUGGGGAGUACGGUCGCAAGACUG